rnacentral:tRNA from 1 species
GGUAGCUUAGUGGUAGAGCACUUGUUUAGUAUACAUGAGGCCCUGGGUUCAAUUCCCAGAACCA